GAUGAAGAACGUAGCGAAAUGCGAUAAGUAGUGUGAAUUGCAGAAUUCAGUGAAUCAUCGAAUCUUUGAACGCACAUUGCGCCCCUUGGUAUUCCAUGGGGCAUGCCUGUUCGAGCGUCAUUUGUACCUUCAAGCUCUGCUUGGUGUUGGGUGUUUGUCUCGCCUCUGCGUGUAGACUCGCCUCAAAACAAUUGGCAGCCGGCGUAUUGAUUUCGGAGCGCAGUACAUCUCGCGCUUUGCACUCAUAACGACGACGUCCAAAAGUACAUUUUUACACUCAUGACCUCGGAUCAGGUAGGGAUACCCGCUGAACUUAAGCAUAUCAAUAAGCGGAGGA
rnacentral:misc_RNA from 1 species